rnacentral:rRNA from 1 species
AUUGAACGCUGGCGGCAUGCCUAACACAUGCAAGUCGAACGAGUGGCGGACGGGUGAGUAAUGUCUGGGAAACUGCCCGAUGGAGGGGGAUAACUACUGGAAACGGUAGCUAAUACCGCAUACCAUCGGAUGUGCCCAGAUGGGAUUAGCUAGUAGGUAGGGUAACGGCUCACCUAGGCGACGAUCCCUAGCUGGUCUGAGAGUAUGACCAGCCAAAGUGGGGCUGAGACACGGUCCAGACUCCUACGGGAGGCAGCAGUGGGGAAUAUUGCACAAUGGGCGAAAGCCUGAUGCAGCCAUGCCGCGUGUAUGAAGAAGGCCUUCGGGUUGUAAAGUACGUUCAGCGAGGAGGCGUUACUCGCAGAAGAAGCACCGGCUAACUCCGUGCCAGCAGCCGCGGUAAUAC